UACGUAGGGGGCAAGCGUUGUCCGGAUUUAUUGGGCGUAAAGAGCGUGUAGGCGGCUUGGUAGGUCCGCUGUGAAAACUCGAGGCUCAACCUCGAGAUGUCGGCGGAAACCACUUGGCUAGAGUCCGGAAGAGGAGAGUGGAAUUCCUGGUGUAGCGGUGAAAUGCGCAGAUAUCAGGAAGAACACCCGUGGCGAAGGCGGCUCUCUGGAACGCAACUGACGCUGAGACGCGAAAGCGUGGGGAGCAAACAGG
rnacentral:rRNA from 1 species